rnacentral:rRNA from 1 species
AGUCGAACGAUGAUCAGGAGCUUGCUCCUGUGAUUAGUGGCGAACGGGUGAGUAACACGUGAGUAACCUGCCCCUGACUCUGGGAUAAGCGUUGGAAACGACGUCUAAUACUGGAUAUGACUUCCGGCCGCAUGGUCUGGUUGUGGAAAGAUUUUUUGGUUGGGGAUGGACUCGCGGCCUAUCAGCUUGUUGGUGAGGUAAUGGCUCACCAAGGCGACGACGGGUAGCCGGCCUGAGAGGGUGACCGGCCACACUGGGACUGAGACACGGCCCAGACUCCUACGGGAGGCAGCAGUGGGGAAUAUUGCACAAUGGGCGAAAGCCUGAUGCAGCAACGCCGCGUGAGGGAUGACGGCCUUCGGGUUGUAAACCUCUUUUAGUAGGGAAGAAGCGAAAGUGACGGUACCUGCAGAAAAAGCACCGGCUAACUACGUGCCAGCAGCCGCGGUAAUACGUAGGGUGCAAGCGUUGUCCGGAAUUAUUGGGCGUAAAGAGCUCGUAGGCGGUUUGUCGCGUCUGCUGUGAAAUCCCGAGGCUCAACCUCGGGCUUGCAGUGGGUACGGGCAGACUAGAGUGCGGUAGGGGAGAUUGGAAUUCCUGGUGUAGCGGUGGAAUGCGCAGAUAUCAGGAGGAACACCGAUGGCGAAGGCAGAUCUCUGGGCCGUAACUGACGCUGAGGAGCGAAAGCAUGGGGAGCGAACAGGAUUAGAUACCCUGGUAGUCCAUGCCGUAAACGUUGGGCGCUAGAUGUAGGGACCUUUCCACGGUUUCUGUGUCGUAGCUAACGCAUUAAGCGCCCCGCCUGGGGAGUACGGCCGCAAGGCUAAAACUCAAAGGAAUUGAC